GACGAACGCUGGCGGCGUGCCUAACACAUGCAAGUCGAACGAGGUCCAUGCAGUGGCAACACUGCGGAAGACCUAGUGGCGAACGGGUGAGUAACACGUGAGGAACUUGCCCCGGAGACCGGGAUAACCCUUCGAAAGGAGGGCUAAUACCGGAUGUCCUCACCGAGCCGCAUGGUUUGGUGAGGAAAUGGAUUCCGCUC
rnacentral:rRNA from 1 species